ACAUCACACCCAUUUCACUACAUUCUUUCCCUCUCACUGCGUAUUACUCUCUCUCUCUCUCUCUCUCUCUCUCACUCACUCAGUACUCCCUUGUUCUCACUUCUCCAACCUUUCCUUCUUCCAUUUUUUUUAAUUUUUUCAAAUCACCAAAUUUCAAUUAGAAACCAGACAACCUUGAAGAAACUUGCUCCUUCCAAAGUAAAGCUUUAACAAAUGUGAUUGGGUAUAAUUUUGGGGCUAGGGUUAAUGAUCUAAGGGUGGAGAUGAGUACCCGUUCCUUAAAAAUUGCUUAUUGAGACUCUUUGAGAUUCAACCGUUGCUGCUUCAUCUGCUUCUCCCGGAGUCGUUGGAGAGCAAAAUUAGCCGGUCUUCAUAGUUGUGAGUUGAUGACAAUCAUUAUCACUUAUUUUAACUACCGUUAUAAAUUAUAUGUUACUAAUUUUCUAUGUUAAUAUUGAUUAUAAAUAUUUUUAUUCGCCUUUGAAACCGUUUUCGUCAUCCUUAUUUGUUUACAUAUGGACUCUAGUUUGAUUUCUUAUGAUAUAUAAAGUAGCGGAUUGAAAAUUAUGGUUUUAUUGUGUUUAAUUUUACAUAAGUUUGGAACUGUUGUUAAAACAUGGUUUUAGUGGAAUGUAUUUUGAAUUCACAGUUUUGACCAUUUAGCCGUUAACGAGAAUAACGAUCUAGGUGCACCUAGUUAUAUGAUAUCAAGGAGAAAAGGGCUAUCCGUUAGAUGGAACCGCCCCUAAGUGAAAGGCCGCUCUUAGGAGGAAAGGGCUAUCAACGAGAUGGAGCCGUCUCUUGAUUCUAUCGUAACGAAUUCUUUUUAUUUGAUUGGAUGAGAAUGCGUUUUUGUAAUCGAUGAGAAAAGGGCUAUCCGUUAGAUGGAGCCGCCCCUAAGUGAAAGGUCACUCUUAGGAGGAAAUGACUAUCAACGAGAUGGAGCCGUCCCUCGAUUCUUUCGUAACGAAUUAUUUUAUUUGAUUAAAUUUCUAUAUUUUUUUCUUAUUUAAAAUUUUAAACCAUAACGAAUUGAAUCAAAUAUUAUUUAUAUUACAUGGUUACUACUAUACAAUAAUUGUUACAAGCUUCUAAAAAUCAAAUGCUCGUGCCUUUGUGUGUUUCUCAUCUAGUUGGUAGUGGUUGUUAUCUCUCACUAAGUCUUUGUGACUUACCCCUUCUUCUUACAUUUUUUCAUAUUUCCAGUCAGCUGAGUAGCAAGUUGUUAGCUCAUUCAAAUCUUCAUCAGUCUCACUCUUUUGGUAGGCCUCCUUUAUGGAAGGCUAAUUUGUAUAUAUAUCUUUUGGUUUGAUCGAAUAUCUGCAGCUAUUUUGAGUCUAGGAAUAUUUCAUUUUGGGAUGUAUAAAGUUAAGAACGUAAAUGUUGAAACUUUGACUAGUGAUGUAUAUGCUGCAAACAGGGUUUAUUUUGAUUUGGAAAUAUUGAAAAUACAUGUGAUUUUGUCGAAAUUUUAGUAAAUAUUAUUUUUGAAGUAAAUGGUCAUUUUGGAAAUAUUAUAUUUAUUGUUAAAUUCGGUCAUUAGGCUUGCCGGACUUGUAUUAGUUCGUGCGCCGAUCACGAUUCGUGUUGGGUCGUGACAGGCCGCUACCCGAGUAGCAGAAUAAUCGGUGGUCAAUUCUCCUUCACUAGUCAAAGGUCUAUCAAGUGGUCAAUUUUAAUUGGCCACCUGUGCGACCAAAUUUGCUAUAUAAAAGAAGGCCUUCAGUUAUUUGAGGUCUCACACCUGUGUUUCUUUUCUUUUGUUUCUUUUUCUUUAUUCAGUAAUGUUAGUUUGUUUAGUUUUUGCUAUUUCGCGUGUAAUGGUUGUUUAGUCCUUCGUCGGCUAAUCAUAUCGCAUACCGAUGUUGUUUAGUCACCAUGGUUGGGUGCGGUAUGUUAUUCAACGAUGAAAUUUUUGUGUCCUAAUUGGGCACAAUAUGAUUAGCCGAAGGGUUCAAUGAUGAAUCGUUAAAAUAUGAUAGUUGAUCUAAUGUUGUCGGUACGACCGAAGCCAAAAACCUGACGACCCUGCAAAACUUUUUGGUCCAUGCUUGAAGAUGGAUCUAGGCAUUUGGAGUUUCGUGUACCUUGUUGAAAAUUUCGACUAAACAGUCAAUCUUCACUUCGGGGACAAAAAAUCACAAGAGGAGGCUGUUUAAUUUAUUUAAUUAGCAAUUGAGAUUUUGGAUGUAAUAUUUAAAUUGAUGUAAUUUUUGUGUCUAAUGUUUUAAUAAAAAAAAUGAACUUAAUUUUGUUUUAGUUGUAAUGAAAAUAAUAAAAAUAUUCCUAUUCUUUUUUUAAAAAACCAAAGGUAUCCUCCAUGCGCAACUGCGGAGACUAAUCCACUCGAGGUAACUGUGAUCCAUUUAAGGGGUUUGACCUCUCCAACAAAUGUUUCUCCAUACGCACCGACCGGGGAUCAAACCCAGGACCAAAUAGUUAAGGGACCCAAAUAUCCACCACUUGUGUCACACUAUGUUGGUAAAAUAUUCCUAUUCUAAUUCACAUUUUAGAGUGUGAACCAUAUCCAGACCAGAAUGUAGGAAAAAAAUGCAUCAUCCCCGCCUAUUGACAUUGGUCAUAUACACUAACCAUUUUACAUCAAAAUAUCAAAAAGUGAUUAUUAGUAAAAAAAAAUGAUAUACAAUUUAACUAAUUGUGUUAGAUCUACUAUGUCAGCCACACUACUAUCAUCUUCAACCUUCACAACAUCACCGUAUUUCUCAAUAUCUAUAACAUCUUCUCUUGUUGAGAUGUGACAAAAUCUUCAAUUAUAUCACAUACCUGAGCACAAAUGAGAGCAUUAUUUAUUAGGCCUCAUUGACAAUAUUUACAUGAAAUGGUUGGCAUUGAAGUUAAAAUGCAUUCCGAUUUUGAAAAUUGCUUUCCCCCCCCCCCAUUGUUUCCUCCAAGGCCCCCCAAAGUGACCAUUUUGACCCUAUAAAUGCGUUUGGACUCUAGAAUCCGAAAUUUGUUUGUUAUGGUCCAUACAAUCCGAAAUCAGUUUAAACAAGCAAUUGGCUGGUUAUGUCUGCCUUGUACGUGAUGUUUUGCCCAGGAAAACCUGGGUUUGGACUGUACAAUCCGAACGUCCUUAUUUUUAACGGUUUUGGAGUAUGGAAGCCGAAACUUGUUUGAUAUGGACCAUACAAUCCGAAACCAGUUUAAACAAGCCAUUGGCUGGCUAUGCCUGACUUGUACAUCGUUGAUGAUUUGCCCAGGAAAACUUGAUUUUGGACUGUACAAUCCGAAAUGCUUUGAUUUUUAAAAUUUUGCAUCAUUUCGGAUUCUACCAACCGGAAACGCUCAUAUUCGGUGUGUAGGAUCCGAAUAGAGUCUAUAUAGCCUAUAUUUCAGAAGUUGCACUUUCAUAACCACUUGGACACUCAAUUGGGAGCUUUGGAGCUAGGUCAAUUUUUUUGGCGUAUCAGAGACUUGAAAGCAACGUUUAUUCACUCAAAGAGGGGCGCAAUACUCAAUCGGAGUCCUACAAGAGGUAGGGUUUGUGAUGACCGAACCUCCGUUUGAAAUGAAACCAAACAUCGAUGAACCCGACAUUGCACAACCUAAUGUAGUUGAACCCGCAAAUAUUUUGGUUAACACUGCCAAUUAUUUUUUUAAGUGUGAAAAGUAUAAGGUCCGAGAUGAGAUGAUCGAAUGGUGCAAAAAAGAGCUAUAAAAGCUGGAUUUACUAUGGUGAUUGUGAAAUCAAAUAUGGGGCAUAUCCUUGCAACGGCCUACAACCGCGUUGUAGUUUUAUUAACUAAACACGAGAUUGGUUAUUGUGAAACCUAUUUUCCACUGCGCGGUCGUCCACCGUUGGAUCCAUCUGCACGCAUUGUGUGUGUUGGUAUGGUUCCAAACCAUUUUGUGUAUGUUAAAUUGAAGGUUGGGUGUCCACUGCCUCCAACUUGUAAGGAAUGGAAAAAUCAUAGGGCGCCAGAGGCUGAGACUUGGGAGGAUACAUUUAUGGACCGGAUGGUUGAGUUUGACGAACUUAUGAAGAAUGAAAAAGGUGACAUGAAGAUGGAAACAAAUGAAGAUGAUCCUGUAGUUGUGAGAGACAAAUGAAGAUGGAGCCAAAUGAAGACGAACUCAUUUUGCUUGAAUUGUUUUUAAGCUUGAAGUUGUAAUUUACAUUUUAGAGUUUGAAGUUGUGAUUUAUUUGAUUAUGUUUGAAGUUAUCGUAUGUAAUGACAAUAGUUAUUUUUAACUUUUAAUUUAGUGCAAAAGAACAAAUUCCGAA